rnacentral:rRNA from 1 species
UACAGGAGGGGGCAAGCGUUGUUCGGAAUUACUGGGCGUAAAGGGCGCGUAGGUGGCCUUCUAAGUUGAACGUGAAAUCCCUGGGCUCAACCCAGGAACUGCGUCCAAGACUGGGAGGCUUGAAUCCGGGAGAGGGAUGUGGAAUUCCAGGUGUAGCGGUGAAAUGCGUAGAUAUCUGGAGGAACACCGGUGGCGAAGGCGACAUCCUGGACCGGUAUUGACGCUGAGGCGCGAAAGCCAGGGGAGCAAACAGG